UUCGUUGAAUGGUAUGAGAUGGACAUCAAAGCAAUGGGUGAGGAGUUGACUUGUGUCUCUUUCUCCAAAUAGGAUGAGAAGCUCUCAGGAUUGGGACUGUAUCAUAUGUGUAACACCAGCUCCCAGCACUGUGCCAGGGACAUCAUGGGCCCUCAAUCAAUACUAGAAGUGGUGAGCUUGCUAGAGAAUGGAGUUCCAUGGACGAGAGCACCUCCUGUUUGCAAACACUAUGGUAAAUAAAAAUGAAGUACUGGUUGAACAAAAAUGAAGUUCUUGGCUAGAAAAAGGUACAUAAACCAAAUUAACAAGCUUUUAUUUAAUACUUGCAUCACUUCUGUUACAUUGUUUUGAGGGUUCAGAGAAUUAAUAAACAAUAUUAUAUGCAUUUAAUUUA